GCCGGGUGCGGUGGCAUGUGCCUGUAAUCCAAGUCACUGGGAGGCUGAGGUUGGUGGAUCAAGUGAGCUGAGGAGCUCUGGGCUGCAGCACGCUAUGUCGAACGGGUGUCCACGCUAAGUUCGGUAUCGAUAUGGUGUUCCUGGGGAGCCCGGGACCACCAGGUUGUCUAAGGAGGGGUGAACCGCCCAGGUCGGAAACGAAGCAGGUCAAAUCCCCCGUGCUGUCCAGUAGUGGGAUAAUACCUGUGAGUAGAUGCUGCAGUGCAGCCUUGGCAAAACAUCGAGACCUAAUCUUUU
rnacentral:SRP_RNA from 1 species